GUUAUUGAAGCAAGUCCAGGUAUUGCAAAAGAUCUAAACCCUUUUUAUAGAGGUUCAAAUCCUCUCUCUAACU
rnacentral:tRNA from 1 species